GNANGGGGNAACCUGAUCCGCCNUCCCGCGUGGUGCGAUGAAGGCCUUCGGGUUGUAAAGCACUUUUGGCAGGAAAGAAAUCGCAUGGGUUAAUAACCUGUGUGGAUGACGGUACCUGCAGAAUAAGCACCGGCUAACUACGUGCCAGCAGCCGCGGUAAUACGAA
rnacentral:rRNA from 1 species